rnacentral:misc_RNA from 1 species
CAUCUCUCUCUUAAGCGAGACUCUCAAAAACCCUAAUAAAACUCUUUCUCCUGUUUUUGAUUGAUCAGUUACUUUGUCUCCCUACACCUUCUGCUGUACAACAAUGGCGACUCCUUCUUUGGACGAAGGGACAGCGAAGGAAGUCCUUAGACAGGUGGAGUUUUACUUCAGUGAUAGCAACCUCCCUAGGGACAAUUUUAUGACAAACACUAUCAACGCCAGUGAAGAAGGCAUGGUUAGUCUUGCUUUGAUAUGCUCCUUUAAGAAGAUGAAAGGUUAUUUGAAACUGAAGGACGUGAAGCCCGAAGAGGUGCCGGAAGAUACUGUUAAGGCAGUUGCUGAAACUCUUAGGAAAUCUAAUUCUGUUAAAGUUUCUGAAGAUGGGAGGAAAGUUGGUAGGAUUGCUGCACUGUUAAAGCCAGAAGAGGCAAUAGAGCAGUUAGACAUAAGAACAAUUGCUGCAUCACCUAUGAUGUGAAGCGGGAAGAUGUGGAAUCUUUUUUUGGAAAUUAUGCCAAGGUGUCUAGUGUGAGGAUGCCUCGUCAUGUGGCUGACAAAAGGGUAUUUUGUGGCACGGCUUUGAUCGAGUUCUCAACAGAGGAAGAUGCUGAAAAUGUUUUGAAGCAAAGUUUGUUUUUUGAAGGUGUACAGCUAGAAUUAAAGCCAAAGAAGGACUUUGAUGCAGAAAGAGCAAAAGAGGAAGAGGAAUUAAAAAAUUCCCGCCCGUUUACAAGUUCAAAUAAUAAGAACAAUUCAAAUGCAGAAGCAAUCUAUCCCAAGGAUGUAAUUGUCGCAUUUACUUUAAAGGCCUUGUCAGCUGGAGAUUCUGUAGAACGUGAUGGUGCUCAAGCGCCUGCAAGUGUUGAUUCAAAGGUCUGUAAAGCAGAUGGAGGAAUAAAUUCCUCAGAGAAUGAUGCUGAAGAAAAUGAAACUGAGGAGUCAGAGAAUGCCUCUAUUGAUAAAGAAAAUAAUGAGAUGAAUAUUGAGGAGGGAAAGGAAGAAAAGGGUAAUGAGGAAACUGGCUCUGAAAGUAAAGAAAUAAAAAUGGAAGAAGGGGAGAAGUCAGCUGAAGAUCCCACUGGAAAGGACAAGGAAAAAGAGGAAAAAUCCAAGGCUGCUGAGGCCUACAGGGAUGACAUGAAUGUUGUAUUGCGUGAGGAUCUGAAGGCUGUCUUGGGAAAAUUUGGCACU